ensembl:lncRNA
CCCCUAUACACUCUCUAUGUACACUACACAGGAGGGAGCGAGGCGAGCUUCCUCCCCAACAACAAACUCUGCGCGGAAUUCCAAACAUUUUAUAACAUUUCUUUUCCGGACAAAUCGACUUCUGCCGGCUGCCAUUUUUUUGUGUCUCGAUGUCCCCGCCGUGUCUUUGCGGGGGAAGCGGGCGGAUGCUGCUCGCAGGUCGGGUCUCCGUCGGCUGACCCCGCGCGGUGACACGAGCCGCAGACGGUCCUCCCGCGCGCAUCCUCCACGCGUCCCCCCGUCUCUCUCCCCCCUCCGUGUCCCCGUCGUGUCCCCUCACUCUCGCCCUUCGCUUCGUCUCCCCCCGCGGCGGGGAGGCGGGAAGCGGCAGCGUCUCUCGCGCUCCGAGCGCCACCUGCAGGCGGGAAGCGGUCUGGACCGUCGUAUUUUACACUCGACACAUAUGGAUUAUGGCUGUUUUUUUGCAAAUGGCCGCCUAACUUUAUUCAUCGGUUUAAUCCAAAAUACACCAUCAACAAACACAUUAUUACAUCUCCGCUUUUGAGUUUGUUCAGACGAAAAAUUAAACGCAAAAUGUGUCUAUAUUGAUUGAAGAUAAAGGGGAGAAUGCCUCAAAAUCCAACCACACGUCUAUUAUCUAAAAGACUCUUGACUAAUGAUUCAUUUGCUGCCUUCGUGAAUGUAAAACUCAAAAGGUGCAACAUUUACUGAUAACUGAUUUUAAAUAAUCUUCUUUUCAAAUAUUGUACUAAAUUGUUUGAUAAUUUAAAAGAAUGCUGUAUUGUUCCCCCAGCAAGCGACAUUUUCACAUGGAAUGAUAAUAAUAUAGUUAUUAUUUAUCUAUAUUACUUAAUUAUUCAUUAUUAUUAGUAAUGUAUUUAUUUUAGUUGUUUCCUUAAAUAAAAUAAGCUAUGCUAAAUCAAAUAAUAUUCAAUCAAAUGAACGUUUUUUAUUUUAUCAUUUGAUUCUUUGACAUAACAC